rnacentral:rRNA from 1 species
UGGGGAAUUUUGGACAAUGGGCGAAAGCCUGAUCCAGCAAUGCCGCGUGUGUGAAGAAGGCCUUCGGGUUGUAAAGCACUUUUGUCCGGAAAGAAAUCCUUGGCUCUAAUACAGUCGGGGGGAUGACGGUACCGGAAGAAUAAGCACCGGCUAACUACGUGCCAGCAGCCGCGGUAAUACGUAGGGUGCAAGCGUUAAUCGGAAUUACUGGGCGUAAAGCGUGCGCAGGCGGUUUGCUAAGACCGAUGUGAAUCCCCGGGCUCAACCUGGGAACUGCAUUGGUGACUGGCAGGCUAGAGUAUGGCAGAGGGGGGUAGAAUUCCACGUGUAGCAGUGAAAUGCGUAGAGAUGUGGAGGAAUACCGAUGGCGAAGGCAGCCCCCUGGGCCAAUACUGACGCUCAUGCACGAAAGCGUGGGGAGCAAACAGGAUUAGAUACCCUGGUAGUCCACGCCCUAAACGAUGUCAACUAGUUGUUGGGGAUUCAUUCCUUAGUAACGUAGCUAACGCGUGAAGUUGACCGCCU